AGCGAACGCUGGCGGCGCGCCUAAUACAUGCAAGUCGAGCGAGAAGACGUAGCAAUACGUUUGUAAAGCGGCGAACGGGUGAGGAAUACAUGGGUAACCUACCCUCGAGUGGGGAAUAACUAGCCGAAAGGUUAGCUAAUACCGCGUACGCUCCUUGGACUUCGGUUCAGGGAGGAAAGCGAUACCGUGGGUAUCGCGCUCUUGGAUGGGCUCAUGUCCUAUCAGCUUGUUGGUGAGGUAACGGCUCACCAAGGCUUCGACGGGUAGCUGGUCUGAGAGGACGAUCAGCCACACUGGCACUGCGACACGGGCCAGACUCCUACGGGAGGCAGCAGUAAGGAAUAUUGCGCAAUGGGCGAAAGCCUGACGCAGCGACGCCGCGUGGGGGAUGAAGGUCUUCGGAUUGUAAACCCCUUUCGGGAGGGAAGAUGGAACGAGCAAUCGUUCGGACGGUACCUCCAGAAGCAGCCACGGCUAACUUCGUGCCAGCAGCCGCCGCAGU
rnacentral:rRNA from 1 species